GAGAGAGUUCCAGAGAAGGACGGCCGAUAACAAUAAUUUAACGGUGUUAAACAAUUUUAACGAUAGGUAUUAAUAAUCUACAUAGACUAAAAAUAUCACUUAUUAACUAUGGGAACUAAAAUGGAUAAAUUUGAAAAGUAUAGGGACUAAAUGGGUAAUUAAACCUUAUUUUUAUUUAAUCUUAUUUAAUAAACAAGUUCAUGUGAAGCAUCUUCAACCUCCUAUGGUGGAAUUGCAAAUGAACAUUUGCUCUCAUCCUCUAAUCAAUGCAAAAAUAAUGACGAAAUUAAUCCCCACUCCCUCAAAAAACAGAACCCACCUCGUACAUCGCUGCCUCUGAUUCCAAAAAAGAAGGACACAUUUACGUAACACCAUCGUGCCAGAUCCAUCGCUCGUUGUCUCUUGUUUCAUCAACCCAUCCCUGCCCAAGAGCUUUCCUUCUGUUGCCUUUUGUCAUCAACCUUCAUCCCCAUCCCUCAAAAAACAAACUCCCAAUUCAAAAAAAUACUACAAAAAAAAUCGAAAAAAAAACGACUUUGGAGCUCGUUGAUCCGCUCGUGUAUGUUGUACUGUCUACCGCCGUAAGGAAGGGCUUGGCAGGAGUGGCAAGAGCGGCGCAUUGGAGGGUGGCGGAGAACCUAAUUUUCCACUUCUUUCUCUCUCUGCAACAUUCUUUGCACACAGUUACCUAUUAUGUUUGAAGAGAAGGUCAAUGGUGUGGUCGAGUAUAUGGUGGGGUAAACCAUUAUGUUCUAAUUUUCCUGUACUUGCCG
rnacentral:lncRNA from 1 species